GACAGAGGGUGCAAACGUUGUUCGGAAUUACUGGGCGUAAAGCGCGUGUAGGCUGCUUCGAAAGUCGGAUGUGAAAGUCCUGGGCUCAACCUAGGAAGUGCAUUCGAAACUUCGAAGCUGGAGUCCUGGAGAGGAAGGCGGAAUUCUCGGUGUAGAGGUGAAAUUCGUAGAUAUCGAGAGGAACACCGGUGGCGAAGGCGGCCUUCUGGACAGUGACUGACGCUGAGACGCGAAAGCGUGGGGAGCGAACAGG
rnacentral:rRNA from 1 species